GGAUGUAAGAGUGCUCUGACUUCGACAUCUGUCACCACAUCCAUCACCAGCAUCCAUUAGGCUGAUCUGGCUGUUCCCUUCUUCCCUCAUGGCUCCCUGUGUGUCCUUCCUGAAGGUGCAUGCUCCUCAAAGAGGAGAACCUUCCCCAAUAGAGAAGAGUCAUUCAUCUCUGUCAAGGGCAUGUAAGUUAGCUGUGCUCCCCACUAGAACCUCCAAACAUGCUCUCAAGAUUUGUUAUUCAUCUUGAGUCAGGUUUUUUAUUAUUGUUUAAUUGUUUUUCAUGAGAUGUGAAGUGGGUGUGUAGAUCCACUCUUUUAUAUG
ensembl:misc_RNA 7SK 7SK RNA